CCUACGGGAGGCAGCAGUGGGGAAUAUUGCACAAUGGGGGGAACCCUGAUGCAGCGACGCCGCGUGAGUGAAGAAGUAUCUCGGUACGUAAAGCUCUAUCAGCAGGGAAGAAAAUGACGGUACCUGACUAAGAAGCCCCGGCUAACUACGUGCCAGCAGCCGCGGUAAUACGUAGGGGGCAAGCGUUAUCCGGAUUUACUGGGUGUAAAGGGAGCGUAGACGGCUCUGCAAGUCAGGAGUGAAAGCCCAAGGCUUAACCGUGGAACUGCUUUGGAAACUGUGGAGCUUGAGUGCGGGAGGGGUAGGCGGAAUUCCUAGUGUAGCGGUGAAAUGCGUAGAUAUUAGGAGGAACACCGGCGGCGAAGGCGGCUUGCUGGACCGUAACUGACGUUGAGGCUCGAAAGCGUGGGGAGCAAACAGGAUUAGAUACCCCUGUAGUC
rnacentral:rRNA from 1 species